AACGAACGCUGGCGGCAGGCCUAACACAUGCAAGUCGAGCGCCCGCAAGGGAGCGGCGGACGGGUGAGUAACGCGUGGGAACGUGCCUCUUGCUACGGAAUAGCCUCGGGAAACUGGGAGUAAUACCGUAUGUGCCCUACGGGGGAAAGAUUUAUCGGCAAGAGAUCGGCCCGCGUUGGAUUAGGUAGUUGGUGGGGUAAUGGCCUACCAAGCCGACGAUCCAUAGCUGGUUUGAGAGGAUGAUCAGCCACACUGGGACUGAGACACGGCCCAGACUCCUACGGGAGGCAGCAGUGGGGAAUCUUAGACAAUGGGCGCAAGCCUGAUCUAGCCAUGCCGCGUGAGCGAUGAAGGCCUUAGGGUUGUAAAGCUCUUUCAGUGGGGAAGAUAAUGACUGUACCCACAGAAGAAGCCCCGGCUAACUCCGUG
rnacentral:rRNA from 1 species